rnacentral:rRNA from 1 species
CCUACGGGGGGCAGCAGUGGGGAAUAUUGGACAAUGGGGGCAACCCUGAUCCAGCAAUGCCGCGUGAGUGAUGAAGGCCUUCGGGUUGUAAAGCUCUUUCGGCGGGGACGAUGAUGACGGUACCCGCAGAAGAAGCCCCGGCUAACUUCGUGCCAGCAGCCGCGGUAAUACGAAGGGGGCUAGCGUUGUUCGGAAUUACUGGGCGUAAAGGGCGCGUAGGCGGCCUUGCGCGUCGGGUGUGAAAGACCUGGGCUCAACCCGGGAAUGGCGCCCGAUACGGCAGGGCUCGAGUGUGGGAGAGGAUGGUGGAAUUCCCAGUGUAGAGGUGAAAUUCGUAGAUAUUGGGAAGAACACCGGUGGCGAAGGCGGCCAUCUGGACCACAACUGACGCUGAGGCGCGAAAGCGUGGGGAGCAAACAGGAUUAGAUACCCGGGUAGUC